rnacentral:rRNA from 1 species
GAUGAACGCUAGCGGCAGGCUUAAUACAUGCAAGUCGAGGGGCAGCAUGAUUGUAGCAAUACAAUUGAUGGCGACCGGCAAACGGGUGCGGAACACGUACACAACCUUCCAACAAGUGGGGGAUAGCCCAGAGAAAUUUGGAUUAAUACCCCGUAACAUAGCGAUGUGGCAUCACAUUGCUAUUAUAGAUUUUUCGCUUGUUGAUGGGUGUGCGGCUGAUUAGAUAGUUGGCGGGGUAACGGCCCACCAAGUCUACGAUCAGUAGCUGAUGUGAGAGCCUGGUCAGCCACACGGGCACUGAGACACGGGCCCGACUCCUACGGGAGGCAGCAGUAAGGAAUAUUGGACAAUGGACGCAAGUCUGAUCCAGCCAUGCCGCGUGAAGGAUUAAGGUCCUCUGGAUUGUAAACUUCUUUUAUAAGGGACGAAAAAAGGCUUUUCUAAGUCGUCUGACGGUACCUUAUGAAUAAGCACCGGCUAACUCCGUGCCAGCAGCCGCCGUAACAC